AUUGAACGCUGGCGGCAUGCCUUACACAUGCAAGUCGAACGGCAGCACGGGUGCUUGCACCUGGUGGCGAGUGGCGAACGGGUGAGUAAUACAUCGGAACAUGCCCUGUAGUGGGGGAUAGCCCGGCGAAAGCCGGAUUAAUACCGCAUACGAUCCACGGAUGAAAGCGGGGGACCUUCGGGCCUCGCGCUAUAGGGUUGGCCGAUGGCUGAUUAGCUAGUUGGUGGGGUAAAGGCCUACCAAGGCGACGAUCAGUAGCUGGUCUGAGAGGACGACCAGCCACACUGGGACUGAGACACGGCCCAGACUCCUACGGGAGGCAGCAGUGGGGAAUUUUGGACAAUGGGCGAAAGCCUGAUCCAGCAAUGCCGCGUGUGUGAAGAAGGCCUUCGGGUUGUAAAUCACUUUUGUCCGGAAAGAAAUCCUUGACUCUAAUACAGUCGGGGGAUGACGGUACCGGAAGAAUAAGCACCGGCUAACUACGUG
rnacentral:rRNA from 1 species